AUUGAACGCUGGCGGCUUGCUUAACACAUGCAAGUCGACCGACAGAACGGGAUCCUGCCUGUCUGCAGGUGGCGGCCGGGUGGGUAAUUACACGGUGCAUACCCAACUAUUAGGCUUGGGAAAACUCCGGCAAGCCGAAUCAAUCACCGGAAGUAAGUUUGAACGCGUGGGUCAAUAAGGGAACGCGGUUUUGGCGUCACCUAUAUAUGGGUCCCCCGCUGCAUUAGCUAGUUGGUACGGUAAUGGCUUACCAAGGCAACGAUGCGUAGCCGACCUGAGAGGGUGAUCGGCCACACUGGAACUGAGACACGGCCCAGACUCCUACGGGAGGCAGCAGUAGGGAAUCUUGCGCAAUGGGCGAAAGCCUGACGGAGCAACGCCGCGUGAGUGAUGAAGGUCUUCGGAUCGUAAAACUCUGUUAUUAGGGAAGAACACAUGUGUAAGUAACUCUGCACGGCUUGACGGUACCUAAUCAGAAAGCAACGGCUAACUACGUG
rnacentral:rRNA from 1 species